CGAACACGAGUCCUUGAGAGGAAAGAAAGAGAAACGCGGCGAGUCGACAGCGGCGGCCGCCAUGGAGGACAGAGCGCCGCUUCUGCUGCCGCAGUACACGUUGCGGGAGGAGAAGUGCGGCGGCGCCGGCACCGGCGACGAGAGGUGGCGGAGGGACCUGGCGCGGGAGGCCGGCAAGGUCGGGUACGUGGCGCUGCCGAUGGCGGCCGUGAGCGUGUCGCAGUACGCGGUGCAGGUGGCGUCCAACAUGAUGGUCGGCCACCUCCCCGGCGUCCUCCCGCUCUCCGCCUCCGCCGUCGCCACCUCCCUCGCCUCUGUCUCCGGCUUCAGCCUCCUCAUUGGAAUGGCAAGUGGAUUGGAAACACUAUGCGGCCAAGCCUAUGGCGCAAAACUGUACGACAAAUUGGCAAUGCACACCUAUAGAGCUAUAGUCACACUCGUAUUUGUGAGCAUUCCAAUCUCACUCCUGUGGGUAUUCAUAGGCAAACUCCUCAUCCUCAUAGGUCAAGACCCCUUGAUCUCAAAGGAAGCUGGGAGAUAUAUAGUCUGGUUGAUUCCAGGACUGUUUGCAUAUGCAAUCAGCCAGCCUCUCACAAAAUUUCUGCAGUCUCAGAGUCUGAUAAUUCCUAUGCUUUGGUCCUCCAUUGCAACACUGCUCCUUCACAUUCCUCUUUGCUGGUUAUUGGUGUUCAAGACCAGUUUGGGGUAUAUUGGAGCUUCUUUGGCGAUAAGCUUAUCAUAUUGGUUAAACGUGAUUAUGCUUGCUGCGUACAUCGGAUACUCCAAUUCUUGUAAGGAGACCCGUUCACCUCCUACAAUUGAGGCCUUCAAAGGAGUUGGUGUAUUUCUGCGCCUAGCUCUGCCAUCUGCACUGAUGUUGUGCUUUGAAUGGUGGUCCUUUGAGAUCCUGAUUCUUCUCUCAGGAAUUUUACCGAAUCCGGAGUUGCAAACUUCAGUUCUUUCAAUCUGCCUGACGACUAUCACGUUAAUGUAUACUAUACCUUAUGGGUUUGGAGCGGCUGCAAGCACUAGGGUAGCAAAUGAAUUAGGUGGUGGUAACCCUGAAGGAGCUCGAUCAGCUGUUCGGGUUGUCAUGUGUAUUGCAGUGAUGGAGGCGGCUAUCGUCACAAUUAUAUUGUUGGCAUCACAGCACAUCUUAGGCUAUGCAUAUAGCAGUGAUAAGGAGGUUGUUGCCUAUGUCAACGCAAUGGUUCCCUUUGUGUGCGUCUCUGUUGCUGCCGACAGCCUGCAAGGAGUUCUAUCAGGUCACAUCUCUAAACUUUCUUAAGCUGGUUGGUCUGCCUUUUACAUUCAAAAGAGUGAAGAAAAGAAUAUUUUCCUGGUUUUAAAAACUCGAAAACACAUCUUUCAAACUAUAUACCUGUAAAGUUAUCAAACAAACUUGCUUUCCGUCUUUACACCAAACUACAACGCCUUUUGCCCCUUAAUUUGAUUUCUAUAAUUCAAUUUGUGUGCUCUUCUCAAUUUUGGUAAGAAGCCCUAUCAGGUGGCAAGUGACCAUUACUGUUUUAUCAGUCAUGCCAAUGUCAUACCAGGUAAUGCAGCUUCUGUUCUUAGUUUCUUCCACGGUACUAAUGCUAUUUCUGUGUUGUGGAAGCAAAAUUUUGUUACUGGGGGAGUUACUUGUUUAUUCCUUCGAAAAUGGGCUCUUACGUGAACAUGGAUGCCGGUGUUUUCAUCAACACGCAUCUAGCAGAGAUGUUACCGUAAUCAGGCUCCAAAUCACUAUGUAUUGCCAGAGGAUGCGGGUGGCAGCACUUAGGUGCCUAUGUUAACCUGGGCUCGUUCUAUCUCGUUGGGAUUCCAACGGCGCUCUUGCUCGGCUUUGUUCUGAAGAUGGAAGGGAAAGGGCUUUGGAUGGGCAUUUCCUG